rnacentral:rRNA from 1 species
AUUUUCAGCGAUGGAUGUCUUGGCUCGCGCAACGAUGAAGGACGCAGUGAAAUGCGAAACACAAUGUGAAUUGCAGAAUUCAGGGAAUCAUCAGAUUUCUGAACGCAAAUGGCACCUU